UGGGGAAUCUUGUGCAAUGGGCGAAAGCCUGACACAGCCACGCCGCGUGCGGGAAGAAGGCCUUCGGGUUGUAAACCGCUUUCAGCAGGAACGAAAAUGACGGUACCUGCAGAAGAAGAUGCGGCCAACUACGUGCCAGCAGCCGCGGUGAUACGUAGGCAUCAAGCGUUGUCCGGAUUUAUUGGGCGUAAAGAGCUCGUAGGCGGUUCAGCAAGUCGGGUGUGAAAACUCUGGGCUUAACCCAGAGCCUGCACUCGAAACUGCUGUGACUAGAGUUCGGUAGGGGAGCAGGGAAUUCCUAGUGUAGCGGUGAAAUGCGCAGAUAUUAGGAGGAACACCAAUGGCGAAGGCACUGCUCUGGGCCGAUACUGACGCUGAGGAGCGAGAGCGUGGGUAGCAAACAGG
rnacentral:rRNA from 1 species